rnacentral:rRNA from 1 species
GAUGAACGCUGGCGGCGUGCGUAAUACAUGCAAGUCGAGCGAACAGACGAGGAGCUUGCUCCUUCGACGUUAGCGGCGGACGGGUGAGUAACACGUAGGUAACCUACCUAUAAGACUGGGAUAACUUCGGGAAACCGGAGCUAAUACCGGAUAAUAUUUCGAACCGCAUGGUUCGAUAGUGAAAGAUGGCUUUGCUAUCACUUAUAGAUGGACCUGCGCCGUAUUAGCUAGUUGGUAAGGUAACGGCUUACCAAGGCAACGAUACGUAGCCGACCUGAGAGGGUGAUCGGCCACACUGGAACUGAGACACGGUCCAGACUCCUACGGGAGGCAGCAGUAGGGAAUCUUCCGCAAUGGGCGAAAGCCUGACGGAGCAACGCCGCGUGAGUGAUGAAGGUCUUCGGAUCGUAAAACUCUGUUAUUAGGGAAGAACAAACGUGUAAGUAACUGUGCACGUCUUGACGGUACCUAAUCAGAAAGCCACGGCUAACUACGUG